CUAUCUGGAAACACACGUAAAAUUCGAUUAGGCGAGAGAGUACAUGAGGGGUCAGCCAUGGGGGGUUGUCAACUUUCGCCACUGCUCCCGGGGCUAUCAAUCCACCACGCCAGGCAGGAGGGCAAUCUAAAGUUUUGAACCUGCACACAUCAAGGCUGAACACUGCACUGGAAGUGGGAGAAGAGAAUUUGGCAUUGACAGGGGACAACAUUUUAAAAAGGCAAACCAAUCAUUGCUCCUCUAUUGGCAGUCCAGUGAAGAUCCGCGAACCUUUCAGUUUAAUGACAACUAACAAGACAACAACAAGCUCUUGUUUGAAAACAUAAGAUGAAAAAUGCUCUUUGCUAAAAAACGUUCCCUUUUUUCCUGAGUUUUCAAUGCCGAAAAGAUAAUUCAUCACAGCAACAGAGAAAACCUCAGCCCCUCCCUUACGACUGCUAAACGCAUUAUAAAUAUUUCCUAAAUUACUUGCAAUGGCAAGCCUGCACAUACACAUUGGCUUCAACCCUCUGGAAGCCACCCAGCCGCAUACCCACCUCUGGAUCCCACCCUACAUCUUCUGGCUGAGACAUUGCUGCAAAGACGGGAACCACGCUGACCCUCUAGGAAAGCACCGGCAGCCCAGCUGGGACAGGCAGUAGCAGCCACCACUGUCCCAGUAAUCCUGUAGUAGCACUGCCCCACGUCUGCGACUGUGAGACAGUCACAGCUGAAACACAACAGGAAAAUCUCCCCUACAAUUGCAGGAAAACCCGCUCCACCUAACCGCCUCCGCCAGGAUCUGUGUUCCCUUAGCCAGCCCUUCGCCCUUCGCUCGGAGCAAAAUACCUCCUCUCCCUCCCAGGAGCCAGCCCCAGUAGGGUGAGAAGGCAAGGACAAAUGGAUUCUCUUGCUGAGCAUCCCAGCAAUCAACCCAAGGGUUGGGGUGGGACCCAAGUGAGGACACGCUCAGCCCUGGGGACAAUUAACCCAUUGCCGAGUGAGUGCCAGCAGUGCCAAGGCCUGUGACAGGAGGCUGACCUGGACUAGCCAAACCUGUCACCAGAAAAAUGAAUGCUACCAAAAUUGCUGUUUACCAGAAAGGCAGAACUCCGCACAAAAGACUCAUGCUCAACCAGUUCACUUUUUCUUUUUUUUUUUUUUUCAGUUUUCUUCAAAUGUUACUCAAAAACUUAACAACACAAAGUCCAGCAGGAGUUUACCAAAGGUGGGAACAGUCUGAAAGAGUAUGGCACCUGAGGGAAAGAUUUCUCUUCCUACAAACACCAUGGAGAUCGCACUUUCUGAAAUUCAGCGGGUGAAACACAAGAUGAUAGCAGUGCUUAAUUUUUGUUUGUUUGUCUAAAUUUGCAUGUAAGCAGCAAAUUGCAACAGAAAACUACAAACGCUUCAGCAAAGUGCCCAGGAGGAAUCCUGACUGAAGUCACACCAGACAUUUGGUCUCCAACAAAGGUGUUAAAAAUUCAUGCAAAGUAGAAACAGCAGGAAAAAAUUGCUUCCUCGUGUUUUCUGUUUUUCAUGUUGCAAUGCACUCUUUCAUACACUGGUAACACAACAAAGUGUAACAAAACAUACCUCAGACAUUUGAGCAUAAGGUUGCGAAUCCACACUGUCUUUGGUCUUUCUUCAAUGGAAGAGCCUGUGCUUUGUUCUCAUUGAAACAAUAAACAACUGUUGUGAUUAUUGAA